rnacentral:rRNA from 1 species
UACGGAGGAUCCGAGCGUUAUCCGGAUUUAUUGGGUUUAAAGGGUGCGUAGGCGGCCUGUUAAGUCAGGGGUGAAAUACGGUGGCUCAACCAUCGCAGUGCCUUUGAUACUGAUGGGCUUGAAUCCAUUUGAAGUGGGCGGAAUAAGACAAGUAGCGGUGAAAUGCAUAGAUAUGUCUUAGAACUCCGAUUGCGAAGGCAGCUCACUAAGCUGGUAUUGACGCUGAUGCACGAAAGCGUGGGGAUCGAACAGG